ACGUUUUGGUCAGGACAAGCGUAGACUUCUAAUGUAUAUUCACAAUCUUGAUUGUUCUGAUGGACAAGGGCCCUCGGUGUAUUGCCUUCUGGACAUAAAUUGCUGUUUUGAUCGUUUUUCCUAGAGGCUAUGUAGUUGUUUCUGAGUAUGCUUUUGGGUAAUCUUUGGUUUGUUACCAGGAUUUUUUUAGUAAUAAAUAUUGCAUGACUUGACGAUAGGAUUAUGUUUGAAAUUUUAGUCACAGCACUGUCAGCUUGUAGUACCCUCCACCUUUGGAAACUCACAAUGCCCCAGCCCAUUGGAGUUUCGUAUUUGUCCACG
rnacentral:misc_RNA from 1 species